rnacentral:rRNA from 1 species
GACGAACGCUGGCGGCGUGCUUAACACAUGCAAGUCGAACGGUGAAGCGCCUUCCUUUUUGGUGGGUGUGGAUGAGUGGCGAACGGGUGAGUAACACGUGAGUAACCUGCCCCCUUCUUCUGGAUAACCGCAUGAAAGUGUGGCUAAUACGGGAUAUUCUGGGUCUGUCGCAUGAUGGGUCUGGGAAAGAUAUUGUUUCGGUGGGGGAUGGGCUCGCGGCCUAUCAGCUUGUUGGUGGGGUGAUGGCCUACCAAGGCGGUGACGGGUAGCCGGCCUGAGAGGGUGGACGGUCACACUGGGACUGAGACACGGCCCAGACUCCUACGGGAGGCAGCAGUGGGGAAUAUUGCACAAUGGGCGCAAGCCUGAUGCAGCGACGCCGCGUGAGGGAUGGAGGCCUUCGGGUUGUGAACCUCUUUCGCCAGUGAAGCAGGCCUGCCUCGUUUGUGGGUGGGUUGACGGUAGCGGGAUAAGAAGCGCCGGCUAACUACGU